GAUCAGAGGACAGCUAAUUGCGACAUGCGCCACCCGCAAACGAGAAGCAACGCAGGCAACGAUAGCCCUCAGCAAGGAGAUCGCAGCCCUGGAAACCAAACACAAACGCACCCUAGACGCGGAGACAUACAGAGACCUGACCGUCAAGAGGGAACAACUCUCGACACACCUGAACCGCUCGAUACAGCGCACAUACCAACACUUCAAACACAUAAUUCAUGAACAUGGGAACAAAUGCGG